ACGAAAUCCGAUCGCUGCCGUGUCCUGGGAUCCCCGCGGGGCUGGAGCGUCCAUCCACGGGACUGAAGACCGAGUUUCCCCAGGAGUCGCGGCCCUGCGAGGGUUUGCAACUGUGGGAAGGAGAGGAGAAGCAAAGCCACCCAAGAAGUGACCCUGAGGUGGUGGGGGGCUUGCCAUUAGAACAGCAUUCCCUGAGGAAGGCUGGCCCGGGCACCUGCAGCUCCCAGGGAGUGACCGAUAGUUCAGGCAGGAGUUUCAAGUCCAGGAGACUAGGAUUUCAGGAUGAAGAUCUGUGUGCAGAGGAUGAGAAUUUGGCCUAACAAUCCCUCAGGAGAAAACUGAGCUCUCAGAGCUCAAGUGAUCAGACCAGUUGGUGAACAUCGAAGAAUGUCUGGUCUUCCAGGAAGUUGCAACUGACCACAGCCUUGAAGGGAACUUCAUAACUGAGUGGAUUUGUACCUCCUCUCUUGGAAGAGGGGUGAG
rnacentral:lncRNA from 1 species